AUUUCCUUUUUUUUUUUUUUUCCUCAUCAGCAUUAUUAUUAUUAUAUUGGAAGGCUGGACUCGGA
rnacentral:ribozyme from 12 species